ensembl:lncRNA
GUGUAUACUCCUCAGGGGAUCCACCCAUUCAGCCCUCACCAGCGAAUGCGCUGUUAGGGGGCGGGGCCUGGCGGGAGGCGGUCCCUGGGGCGUGGCCUAGAAGGGUUUAUCUUCCUCCUGCUCCUCCUUCUGCCUGCUUCCUGGCCACCCUGCUGUGAGCAGCUCUCCUCCUCCCAGGCCCUUCCACCUCGCCCUUCUCCCUGGCAACCACUGACCACGGAAGAACUGGGACUUCUACAACUGAUCCACAUCCUGUGUUCUUUGCACAGCGCCACCAGAAGCCAUGCUCUUCCCGGCUGACAGUGGGGGGGAACCGAGCCUCGCCAGCUGUUUUCUUCUGAACACAAUGAAUGGGCAGAUGCCAGAAUGUGGAAACCGCCAAGGCAGAAAUGGGCCCCGACCUUCAAUGCCCAGGAGCUGUAGGAAUAGGUCUUCACCGGGGGCCAGCCCUAAGCCUGACAAGCCCAAACCUAAGCCAAACCCUAAGCCCAACCCUCAGCCCAACCCCCGGCCUAAUGGGCCUAUCAGACGUGGGAGACCAAUCUGUGGACACCCCCACACCUUGAUUUCCUCCAAUCACGACCUUAUCCCCACCCCCUGGAUUGAGCCUCCUUCCUGCACAAGGACCCUUUCUACCCUGCUGGUUGCGGAGCCCUGGAGUCCAUGUACUGGAGACUGUAACGCCUGACCUGAGUGAGACCCUCUGAGCAAAGAUGCUGUUAUCAAUAAACAACAGGAAACCAUGAAAGGUUCAUGCUUUUCUCAGCACAGAUGGCCAUAAAAAAAACUGAAGACAGGACUGCAAUCUUCCCGAUGCCAAGGACUCCGUUAUCUGCUCACCUGCCUUGAACAUCCUGGGCACCUGGACCACAGCAUUCCACCCAGAUUCCUUAAGAGAGCACCCCCUCCCCAAGCCCUAUGAAACUUUGCUUCCCUCUGGCCAGUUGCUGACAUCUUUCCUGAUCUCAGCCCAUCUGCCCCCUGGUGGAGAAUAAACCAGCCUUUUGCUCACAAAGCCUGUGUCAAGCUGGUCUCUUGUGCAGC